GACGGCAAGCAAAUGUUUUCUCCUUUGGUGCCCCUGAGGCCGUUAUCCAUGCAGAGGUGUCUGGAGGGGCCGAGGGAGGGCUCCCCGAGGAGGUGGUGUGAGAGAGGAGGGGGUAAGUGGCAGGGCAGUGGAAGCAAGGUCCCUGGGGUGGGAGAGCCCACUGUGCAGGCUCAUUUUGGUUUGGGGAGUUGGGUAUGGCCCUUGCAGUAAUCCAGGGGAGAUGUGGCAACUUUGACCAGUGGAAGAGGUGACAGGGUCCCAGAAGGUGGAGACCAGCAGACAGACUAGAGAUCUGGCUGUAGGCUCUGUGGAGCCAUGCUUGGGGACUUUAGCAACUGGAAAAAAGAAGAAAGAAGGCAGCCAAGUGCAGGAGCUGGCCCAGAGGGAAGCCAGGAGUUGGGUUUUUGAUGCGUUUGGUUGGAGACAGCCAUCAGGUGGAGAUGGAGAGCUUCCUGGUGGACGUGUAUCUCUAGUUCGGGAGAGAGGGCUGGGUCAAAGGCGUAACGGGAAAUCAUGUUUUUCCCUUUAAGAAACCCAAAAAGCAGUGUGGUACUCAGAGCCCCAUGCAGGAAGAGCUGGGAUGUCCUCGCUCGGAGCUCGCCAGUUCCUAGUUCAUUUUGAAGCUACUUUUAUAGGGUUCCAAACUCUUUGGAUCACAGGACCCCUUUUCCCAAACAAAAGCCUCAGGCAGAACCCCAAUGGAGAAAACAGAGAAAGUAGAAUCGCUGUAUUCAAAGUCAGGCAGGAUACAGGGUGUGGCCCCCACUACCUGAGUGGGUAGAAAACUGCUGAUAUAUAUGUCUCAUGAAGCAUUGGCUUCCCUGGUGGCUCAGAUGGUUAAGAGUCUGCCUGCAAUGUGGGAGACGGGGAUUCAAUCCCUGGGUCGUGAAGAUGCUCUGGAGAAGGAAAUGUCAACCCACUUCAGUUUUCUUGCUUGGAAAAUCCCAUAUGGAGGAGCUUGGCGGGCUACAAUCCAUGGGGUCGAAAAGAGUCAUACAGGACUGAGCAACUAACACUUCGGUGAAUCAUAGAAUACAGGCUUCUGUGGCAUGAGUGCUAAGUUACUUCUGCUGCUGCUGCUGCUAAAUCGAUUCAGUCGUGUCCGACUCUGUGCGACCCCAUAGACGGCAGCCCACCAGGCUCCGCCGUCCCUGGGAUUCUCCAGGCAAGAACACUGGAGUGGGUUGCCAUACCCUCCUCCAGGGGAUCUUUCUGACCCAGGGGUUGAACCCACGUCUUCUGUGGUUCCUGCCUUGCAAGUGGAUUCUUUACCACUGAACCACUGGAAAACCCCUUCCGUGGUACACGAGAUGAUUUUAGGCAGUCCAUGAGCUUUUAUUUUUUUUAACUUACGGGUUUAUUUUCACAUGUAUGUUACAAUUAGGAAUACACAGCUAGCUCAUCAAGCCAAUGGUUUUGCUAAACUGUAAGGAGCAGGUUAAAAAAAAAAAGUGAGUUUGUAUAAAGAAAAUCCUUAAGAACAUGAAUGUGAUAUAAAGAAGUGGUAGAGAAGGAACAUGAGUGACCUAAACCAGGAGUUUGUACACUGCAGCCCGUGGACCAGAUCAAGCUGCUGCCUGUUUCUGUAAAUAAAGUUUUAUUGUCACACAGCCACACCCAUUGGCUUCCAGAUGGUCUAGACUGCCUUCCUGCUGAUUCGGUAGAACUGAGUAGUUAUUAAUACAACAGAGACUGUAUGGCCUGAAAAGCCCAAAAUAUUUACUCUCUGGCCCUCUACGUCAAGUUUGUCUGAUCUAAAGCAAGCCCUUCCAAUCUUACAGCUCAGCAAGCCAGCGCCAGAGAGGGCCGGUGGCUUCCCCAAGGUCACACCGCAGCAUUGCUCCCCAUUCUGUGCCUUUCUCAUCCUGCCGCCUCUGCCCAGACCCCUCCAGGCUCUCCAGGCUGGAACCCACCUCUGCUGCUUACCUACAGCACAACUUUGAGCUUGCUCCUCGACCUCUCUGAACCUGUCUUCUCAUCCAUGAACUGAGAGCGACAGCCCUACGACUCCCGAGGUUGAGAGAAUCAAACGGCUUUCAUGAAAACGAUCCUCUGGGGCUGCGGUGCCCCAUCCUUGGGCUCAGGCCAACAGCAAACAUUUCUCUGUGGUCGUGCAGAUUUCUGGAUGGCAGCUGCUCCUUCCUUCCCUGGGAACUGUCAGGAGCCCUUCCCUUCUCCUGGUCCCCCCAGAAGAUUCCAGGCCAUGAUGCUUCCACCACCUUGCACAUCUGGGUGUUGCACCGCAACACAGGGCUGAGUCUCGUCUGAGAUGAGGCAGAUGAGGAAACAGGCUUGAGGACUGAAGGAAUACUCCAGGAAGGUGCUGGAACAAGGCAGGUCUCCUUCCCUCCAGGCAUCUACACUGGCCACUGCCCCACAGUCAAAGUUUUGACUGCUUGGAAGAAGGAAGGAUGCUUGAGAAGUGGUGGGCCACAGAAGACAUAGCCUAAAACACUGGUUCCUUUAAUGAUUCUCAAACUGGAUUCCCCAGAGGAGCUAGGAUGUGCGGCUCCUCCUGCUCCAGGAUUUCUACUCUUGAGUUUCACGCCCAGCUCUUGUGGAAUAAACAUGUCACCGCAACAGUUUUGAGCUGCAAGACCUUCUGUAGACCCUGAGAUGCUUAGCCAGCUUCUCCUGGUGCUCAGCUGAAGAACAGGAGCCAGAUAGGAAUAUAGCCAGCUGUGGUGACCUUGAAGACAAACGGUGUAGCAGUUAGAGUAUAUGUUCCCUUGUUGUGACAAACCCCAAAAUCCACGGUUUUAAAGCAGAUGGAGGCUGACUUAAGGAAGCUGUCUUCUCAUCUCCACCAUGCUGUGCUCAGUCGCUCAGUUGAGUCCGACUCUUUGCGACCCCGUGGACUAUAGCCCGCCAAGCUGCUCUCUGUCCAUGGGAUUCUCCAGGCAAGAAUAGAGGGAUUCUCUACCUGUCCACGGGAUUCUCUAUCUGUCCAUGGGAUUCUCCAAGCAAGAAUAGAUUCUCCAGGCAAGAAUGGAGUGGGUUGCCAUUUCCUCCUCCAGGGGAUCUUCCCAACCCAAGAAUCAAACCAGGAUCGCCUGUGUCAGCAGGUGGAUUCUUUACCACUUGGCCACCUGGGAAGCCCCUUGGCCAUCCUAUGUAUGGCUGAAUUUGCUCCUCACCAUGUCUUCUCACAAGACUUUCAGGCGAUUCCUGGCCAGGAACCAAAAGCAGAAUCAUCCCAUUCACCAGUGGAUUCGAAUGAAUACUGGUAAUAAAACCAGGCACGACCCCAAGAGAAGACACUGGAGAAGAACCAGGCUGGGUCUACAAGGAGCCUCGCAUAUGAAGUGACACCCAUGUAUGUGGUGUCGAGGUCGCUUGUGUCUGAUCACACCACAGUAGAGAGAACGUCACUACUGUCUGAACAGGCACGUGUGUCUUAUGGGACAGGUGGGAAGGCUGUUUCUCUUGUCAGUGUUGCUCAACGAGGGUUUUGGCUUAGUGAUAGACAUGUGAGAGCUUUUGUUGAGGAAAAAAAAAAAAAGGAAGCCUUCGAGAGCUUGUCCGCAAGUGUGGGGUUCCCACCAAGUCACUGACCUUAAAUUGAACUCAUGUAAACUAAUGCUACUACUAACUACUACCAAGUCGCUUCAGUCGUGUCCAACUCUGUGCGACCCCACAGAGGGCAGCCCACCAGGCUCCCCCGCCCCUGGGAUUCUCCAGGCAAGAACGCUGGAGUGGGUUGCCAUUGCCUUCUCCAAUGCGUGAAAGUGAAAAGUGAAAGGGAAGUCACUCAGUCGUGUCCGACUCUUAGCGACCCCAUGGACUGCAGCCCACCAGGCUCCUCCAUCCAUGGGAUUUUCCAGGCAAGAGUACUGGAGUGGGGUGCCAUUGUACCAGGGUUUAAAUUCACUUAUGUUUAUAAUCACAUCACGUUGGUUCAUACAUAUAUUUUGGAAUCAUGUCAUGAGAAUUUAUUAUGUGUCAAUUCAUCAAAGACGAACAUGCCUGUUCGGGCUGAAGUAUUUCCAUGCUACCAAGUCAACGUCAGUGUGUGGAAUUAUGUUUUUGCUUGUUUUUUGUUUAAAGCCUUUAAUUAAUCUUUAAAAAUUGUUCUAUAAUAAAU
ensembl:lncRNA